rnacentral:rRNA from 1 species
UACGUAGGGGGCAAGCGUUGUCCGGAUUUAUUGGGCGUAAAGAGCGUGUAGGCGGCCAGGUAGGUCUGCUGUGAAAACUCGAGGCUUAACCUCGAGAUGUCGGCGGAAACCAUCUGGCUAGAGUCCGGAAGAGGAGAAUGGAAUUCCCGGUGUAGCGGUGAAAUGCGCAGAUAUCAGGAAGAACACCCGUGGCUAAGGCGGCUCUCUAGUACGGUACUGACGCUGAGACGCGAAAGCGUGGGGAGCGAA